UUUACUGUACCCGUUUAUCUUCAAUUCUUCAUUGUCUGUCAUUUCUUUUGACCUUCAUUUAUUAAUAAAGCAAAUGUAAAUAAUCUGUUAUCAUAGAGUAGAAAAACACAUACACAGAAUAUUGACGAGUUCAAAAUGCAAACAGAAAAACACACAAACUGACGCAGACUGCAAAUAUAAGAAAACACACUCUUAACAGACCCAGAGGUCAAAUUUGCAGUAAAAUAGUUUUCAAAAACCUACAGCUACUUGUUCUGGUUACCAACUUUCUAUUGUUUUGGAUUUAAAUGUUGGCUUAUUAGAUUUUGAUGUUGUUGGUGGUUGUCAUUUUGGCAGGACCUCACAGAAACUGAGGUACUGGAAGGCGAAGAAACAAAGCCUGUGAAGAAAGUGUUGGUUGAUGAGUCAAAUUUAUCGGAUUUUGUUGGAAAACCUGUUUUCCAUGCGGAGCGCAUAUAUGAGAAGACACCAAUUGGAGUUGUGAUGGGUCUUGCUUGGACUGCAAUGGGUGGUUCUACAUUGUAUAUAGAAACUACCAUCAUAGAGCAAGGUGAGGGUAAAGGGGCCCUCAAUCUUACUGGACAACUUGGAGACGUGAUGAAGGAAAGUGCCCAAAUUGCUCACACAGUCGCCAGAGCAAUAUUAGCUGCAAAGGAACCUGAGAGUCCCUUCUUUGCCAAUUCCAAGGUUCAUCUCCAUGUCCCUGCAGGUGCUACCCCCAAGGACGGCCCUAGUGCUGGCUGCACCAUGAUCACAUCCUUGCUCUCUCUUGCCAUGAACAAGCCGGUGAAGAAGGACAUAGCAAUGACCGGCGAAGUAACCCUAACGGGGAGGAUUCUUCCAAUUGGAGGGGUAUGUUAACCAUUACCUGGUUGAAAAUACAACUUUCUGGAUUUGCUAGAAUAAAUUAAAUUAAUAAACCUUGAAAUAUUUGGAUAAAUCACGUAGGUUUUGUAACUAAAUAUUUUUUUUCACCCUUAAAUUUUCUUUUGGUAUUAUUAUAUGAAUGAAUUAAAUAUUUGGAUAUUUUUUUUCCUGCAUUUGUUUGUUUCAUGUUCUGGAUCCUCUGAUCUCAUGGAUUUGUCUUGUGCAAAAGGUCAAGGAGAAGACAAUAGCGGCGCGGCGUAGUCAAGUGAAGACCCUCAUAUUUCCUGAAGCGAAUAGAAGAGAUUUUGAUGAGCUUGCUUCUAAUAUAAAGGAAGGCCUUGAGGCACAUUUCGUUGACGAUUACAACCAAAUAUUUGAGUUGGCUUUCGACAACAAGCAGACUGAAGAAUGAGCCACUGCCAAGCAUACCAUCCUGCUGCAGCUCCAGUUUUCUGGGUAUUGAAGCUCUUAUUAAUAAUCAAAAUUCAAGAUCAUUAACCAUUUUCCCCAUAGUACCACUUCAACAGCACAGUGUUGAGGUUAGUCAAAUGUCUUCAUACGGGGGAGUUAAGCCACCAUUAUUUAUUCAAUUUUAAUUUAUCAUUGUAACAUCGAAAUCAUCCUUUUGUAAAACAAUUAUCAUUGGAGUUGUAGUUUAGAUUUUGUGGUGGCUUAAAUACUAGAAGAAAUAUACAGAAUAAUGUAGGGGGAUUCCUGUUUUUAGUUAUUGUCGACGAGUUCAUCUUGUUUUCAGGAUUUAAUUGGAGAAUAUUCAAUCAUUUAUUUGAUGGUCAAUUAUGUAACUAUCAACAUUUAGACAUGCUUGAAGUGAUUAACAAAUCUUAUGAAUUUUCAUAGGUUUGGGACACUUUGAUAAUACAUCUUGGUCUUAUUCUGCAUGCCCUUUUAUCAUGUUACUUCUCUUGUUCUUUGCUGUCUGGAAUGCUAAAAAAAGAAUACGAAAAAAGAACAUGCAAACUGAAUAAUCAGAAAGUGGAGGUUAGGUAUAAUUAAUAUUGGUCUUUAAUUUAAACUCUGUUUAUGUUUUAUUUUUUCUGAAUAAGUUUGUGUGUGUGUAUAUACAGUGAGCUUCCAUAGGGGUGGUCAGCUGCGGAUCACCUUUAGUGACGGACAAAACCGUCGCAAUAGGGUCUGAACUGGGCUAUACGACAGUAUUAGUGACGGUUUUGUCCGUCGCUAAAUGUGGUCCGCAUGUCCGCAUAAGAAACAGACUAUAUAUAUAUAUACCCUAAGUUGAGCUUCUAGCGUUUAGAUUUACAGCUCCAUGCCAAACUGGUAUGAGAUGCUAAGGAAUGAUGGAAUUCCAAUGUUUGGAUAUGUGAGUGAGGGAGUUUGUGUUUGAAAUUCUGUUACAUUCUCAUUCCAAUUGAUGUUUGGUAUGCUCAUUUAACAAAAAGGAAUAUUGUAUUUCUUAGAUAAAUUACUAUUAAUAAAAAAUGUUGUAAUGUGAUUAAAUAUGAUAAAUGGGUAAAUUUGAUGAGUAAUUGUUAUGACUUUUUGGGUUGAGGUUAUAACAUUUUAUACCAAAUUAGAGAGAAAGUGAGAGUGGAGAGAUUUUUUUUAUUAUAUAUAAAUGGAAUAAAAAAAUUUGAGAUAAAGUUAAUACUUUUUUAGGGAGAUGGAAAGUAAAAUUAUAGAGAAGAAGUGAGUAAAUAAUUUUUAAGACCGUGAAGGAAAGAGUUUACAAAUUUUGAGAGAGAACUAAAAAUCUAGCAAGAAAUUACAAAAUAUUUUAAAGUGACUAGAAAUAAAUUUAUAAAGGGAGAAAUUAUAGAGAAAUAGUGAACAAUUUUUUUUGAGAUAGAUAUAUUUAGGUAGAUGAUAUUUCACAUGCAUAUUUAUAUUUUUUUCGGGUGGAUGGGACCCACACUAUAAUUUUUUAAAAAUUAUUUAUUUUAUUUUUAAAAUUAUAAAAAUAUCAAAUACGUUGCGAGAAGUUAGGGGUGAGAAUGAUGCGGUUUGAAGUUCAAACUGCAUACGAAACCGCCUAGGUGAGGUUUGACAAAUCCAAAACCGCACAUGAAACCGCUUGUGAUUGGUGCGGUGCAGUUUCAUUCGGUGCGAUUUCAGUUCCAUCAAUUAAAUUAAUCUACUUCUAAAUAUCAUUAAAGUUACUCGAAAUAUAAAUGAAUAAUCACAAUUUUUUAUGCAAGAGAAAUAUUUGAAGAGGUUAUAUAUAAGAAAAUUUUUAUAAUACAAAAUUAAUUCAAUUUAACAAUUUUAUAGUGUUUUACCAUUUUUUUUAAUUUUUCUUUUGCGUUGUAAAUGACAAAAAAGUUUUCCGAAUGUGAAGAAGUAAGAGAUAAAAAAAAGUUAACGAACCGUGAGAUGAAUGAGACGAUAAUAAUAAGGAAGAACAUCAAUUUUAUGUAAUGAAGCCUCAUUCUUGUUAGUAAUUUAAUUAUUUUUUUUAAAACUCAAAAGAAACAUGGUGCGGUUUCUGUUUUAUGCAUCAAUUUUGGCCAGUAAUCAAAUCUAAACCGUAAAUUCGAUUUUUCAACCCACCAAAAACCCGCCACAUACGCCGGAACCGUUGAUGCGGUUGUUUUUAGUGUAGUUUUAGAAGUAAUUUGGUUACUUACUUAGUGGUCCCCUAUAUUUAUUAUAUAUAUUUAUGGAUUAAGUUCAGAUGAUCACCUGGGGUUUGGCGGUUUCUCAUUUAACCACCUGUAGUCAGUAAAGCUACAUUUAAACACCCGAUUUUUGAGUUAAAGUGAAAAAAUAUUUUUCGUCUUAACUCCGUUACUUUAUUUAGCUAAAUACUUAAUUACCCUCACUUUAAAACACCACGGUUAUCGACCCUGUUCUCUUACUAGCACAUUUUCUGGCUUUAGAUCUCUGUACACAAUUCCUAGCAUAUGCAGAUACUCAAUUGCCAACAAAACCUCCGAUGCAUAAAACCUGACAAACAAAGAAAUAUAUCUAAAACCAUUUUGCUAAUCUUGAUUAACAUAAUUUGUAUGACAAAACUCUAUCACCAUGAAGAACAGAAACAAUUAUGUAUCAACUUAAACGCCAUUUCAUAGCAGUAUUCCAAUUAAGUCUUAACUAUAAACCACUCUACGAGUUAAUCAGCAUUUCAGUCAUUCUUGCAAUCAACACACCCAAUAAAAAGUACAACCUAGAAUAUGUUCAAACAUAUGUCUGUUCUUCUUAGCUUUGCCCGGAAAAGACCGAAUUUUUAGAGGAAGAUACUAAGCAGAGUAAAGAUUUCAAAUCUUGUUCUUGAGCAUCUCAAAUUUAUCACUCUCAAAGUGAACCAAAAACAGAGUAAACACCUUAAUCUGACAAUUCUUCUUAGACAAUGCUGUUAUCUAUAAAUCAUCGAUAAAUGACUGAAACAAGAAUUUUUCAAGUGAAAGCACAUCCGUAGCAGGGGAAUUCCAAAAUCAUAUUGUGAGAGACAUUAGAUUAUUCUUUCAUAUGUCACAUUGAUCAAACAAUUACUCACAUUAUCGAUCUGCUUGGUGGAGGAUACAUGAGUAUGCAAAUACCAAUUUGAACCUUUGCUAGCUUCCAAAGCCCACCAAACCCUGCCCUAUUCCCUCACCUUCUGCCAAACACUUUGCCACCAUUUUACCAAAAGACUUCGAAAAUCUUUUACCCAUUUUUUUCCAAAUUCCUUCUACCUGUAGUGAAGAGAGAAGAGAGAGAGAGAAUGUAUCUCAUGAACACUUGUCUCUCGUCGGCAACAGCUUAAAGAGACUUACUUUGAGUUCCCUGUUGGUAUCUUUAGAUUUUUGAGUGAGAAAAUUGGGUUUUGGGAAGAGAAAUAGAGGUGGGUUUUGUACAGAUGCUCUGCAAAUGGGGAAAAUCGAUCAGCAACUUCCUCUGCAUCAACGGCAGAUUGAUGGGGCUUCAGAUUCAGGAAUUUGCUGGCCCAUUCAUCUCUUCCAACCCAAACGUCGUUGUUCUCCUCGACGCCAAAAGUUUUCCGCUUCUUUUCGACGUUACUACGGUAGAAAAGAAAAAACUCUUCACCGGGACAUUUAUGCCCUCCACUGAACUCACCGGUGGCUACCGUAUUCUCUCCUAUCUCGAUCCCAGCGAGCCGACCCACGGAGUUCCAAGCCAGCUACAUCGAGCUAUUUGAAAAGCUGGAGAGCGAAAUAGCUAGUCAAGGCAAAUCCAACUUCAGCGAAGCCAACGAUCAAGCCGUGUUCAACUUCCUGGCUAGGUCACUCCACGAUAUAAAUUCGGCCGAUACGAAACUCGGAUUCGACAGACCCAAACUAAUCAGCAAAUGGGUUUUGUUCAAUCUUCAUCCAUUACUAACCCUCGGCCUCCCAAAAUUGCUGAUCAAUAAUUGGGUGGACAGCUUAUUACUAACCCUCGGGCACAGCUUCUUUGGGUGGAUUUGAAAUUGGGGAAGAACCCUAAAAAAUUGGAAAUCCUACUACGAUUUGGGGAUAGAUUAAGAAGAAAAAGAAGGGAUGAUGAUGGGAUGAAGCAAUUUGAGUUUCAUGAAUGACGAAGAAGAGAGGAGACUGAAGGUUAAAGAGGAAGAACAAGGACAUUUCAGACAUUUACUUGUUCUUUUUGAAUGUUAUAGUCUCUUCUCACGCGUUUUUGGGUCUGACAUACACGCAC
rnacentral:lncRNA from 1 species